rnacentral:misc_RNA from 1 species
AAGUCGUAACAAGGUUUCCGUAGGUGAACCUGCGGAAGGAUCAUUACUGAGUUAGGGUCUUUCUGGCCCGACCUCCAACCCUUUGUUUACUACACCCCAUGUUGCUUUGGCGGGCCUGCCUUUCGGGGCUGCCGAGGGCAUCACUGCCCUUGACCUGUGCCUGCCAGGAGCCUUCUUUAAAUUCUGUGUUCAACUGUGUUGUCUGAGUCCCAAUAUCAAAAUAUAAAAAACUUUCAACAACGGAUCUCUUGGUUCUG